rnacentral:rRNA from 1 species
CAAUAGCGUAUAUUAGCGUUGUUGCAGUUAAAAAGCUCGUAGUUGGAUUUCUGGAGGGAGCGUCGGCCCGUAUUUACGAGUGCGUGACGUCUCUGUCCAUCCUUGCGGGAAGGCACGGCAUUGAUUUGUUGUGUCGGAUCGCAUCAUUUACUGUGAAAAAAUUAGAGUGUUCAAAGCAGGCUUUCGCUUGAAUACAUUAGCAUGGAAUAAUAAGAUAGGACUUUGGUGCUAUUUUGUUGGUUGAGCCUAAAGUAAUGAUUAAUAGGGAUAGUUGGGGGCACCUGUAUUGCGUUGUCAGAGGUGAAAUUCUUGGAUUUACGCAAGACAAACAGCUGCGAAAGCGUCUGCCAAGGAUGUUUUCAUUA